UGUAACAGUUCUUAGAUCAGUGUGAAUUGCUAUCUUACGACAUGUUUUGCGAGGUAGUUAGCAGGAGCAAGAAAAAAUGUUGGAAUACACAGAGCGAUAUCGAUACGAUGUGAAGAAAAUGAGUUUUAAAUAGCUCGAACGAUGGCCACGUUAUCGUUAUGGAAAAUUUUAUGAUCGUGAAUUGUAGAAGAGAAAUAUUGAAUUUUAGUAUUUUCGAUGAAUGCGAAAUAUAAUAAGUGCUAUGUUGUUGCAAAUCAAUCAUAUAGAAUCAAAGUUAUGAUUGGAGCGAAAAUCAUAUUACGUAGUUAAAUUCUGACGAUCUUAGUGAUAUUGAACGCUGUUACGUCACAUAACACUCGAGUACUCACUUUACGUAACAAGAAGGAACAUGUUACUUAUAAAUCGAAAAUCUAAGGAAGGUUAAAAAAAUAUGAAUAUCAACAUCAAUAUCAAGUAUCAACGAUCUGUACAUUAUGACGAGUAAGUAGGUAUUAAAAAUUUGAAGAUAUUUUUUUCUCGACUCUGUAAAGAUAGUAAAACACGGAAUUAGAACAAGAAUUAGUCUACAUGCAAAAACUA